UGGGGAAUAUUGGACAAUGGGCGAAAGCCUGAUCCAGCCAUGCCGCGUGUGUGAAGAAGGUCUUCGGAUUGUAAAGCACUUUAAGUUGGGAGGAAGGGCAGUAAAUUAAUACUUUGCUGUUUUGACGUUACCGACAGAAUAAGCACCGGCUAACUCUGUGCCAGCAGCCGCGGUAAUACAGAGGGUGCAAGCGUUAAUCGGAAUUACUGGGCGUAAAGCGCACGCAGGCGGUUUGUUAAGUCAGAUGUGAAAUCCCCGCGCUUAACGUGGGAACUGCAUUCAAAACUGACGAGCUAGAGUAUGGUAGAGGGUGGUGGAAUUUCCUGUGUAGCGGUGAAAUGCGUAGAUAUAGGAAGGAACACCAGUGGCGAAGGCGACCACCUGGACUGAUACUGACACUGAGGUGCGAAAGCGUGGGGAGCAAACA
rnacentral:rRNA from 1 species